AAUUGGAGGGCAAGUCUGGUGCCAGCAGCCGCGGUAAUUCCAGCUCCAAUAGCGUAUAUUAAAGUUGUUGCAGUUAAAAAGCUCGUAGUUGAAUUUCGGGAUUGACACAUCGGUCGUGCCCUAAGGGGUAUGAACUGGUGUAGUCAGUUUCUCACCUUCUGGAGAACCGCGAUGUCCUUAAUUGGGUGCCGCGAGGAACCAGGACCUUUACUUUGAAAAAAUUAGAGUGUUUAAAGCAGGCAUUUUGCUUGAAUACAUUAGCAUGGAAUAAUAAAAUAGGACGGAUGGUUCUAUUUUGUUGGUUUCUAGGAUCACCGUAAUGAUUAAUAGGGAUAGUUGGGGGCAUUAGUAUUCAAUUGUCAGAGGUGAAAUUCUUGGAUUUAUUGAAGACUAACUACUGCGAAAGCAUUUGCCAAGGAUGUUUUCAUUAAUCAAGAACGAAAGUUAGGGGAUCGAAGACGAUCAGAUACCGUCGUAGUCUUAACCAUAAACUAUGCCGACUAGGAAUCAGACGAUGUUAAUUUUUUAAUGACUCGUUUGGCACCUUACGGGAAACCAAAGUGU
rnacentral:rRNA from 1 species